rnacentral:rRNA from 1 species
GCAUUAGCUGGUUGGUGAGGUAACGGCUCACCAAGGCGACGAUGCGUAGCCGACCUGAGAGGGUGACCGGCCACACUGGGACUGAGACACGGCCCAGACUCCUACGGGAGGCAGCAGUAGGGAAUUUUCGGCAAUGGGGGGAACCCUGACCGAGCAACGCCGCGUGAAGGAAGAAGGAAUUCGUUCUGUAAACUUCUGUUAUAAAGGAAGAAAGACGGAUGGAGGAAAUGACAUCCGAGUGACGGUACUUUAUGAGAAAGCCACGGCUAACUACGUGCCAGCAGCCGCGGUAAUACGUAGGUGGCAAGCGUUAUCCGGAAUUAUUGGGCGUAAAGAGGGAGCAGGCGGCAGCAAAGGUCUGUGGUGAAAGACUGAAGCUUAACUUCAGUAAGCCAUAGAAACCGGGCAGCUAGAGUGCAGGAGAGGAUCGUGGAAUUCCAUGUGUAGCGGUGAAAUGCGUAGAUAUAUGGAGGAACACCAGUGGCGAAGGCGACGAUCUGGCCUGCAACUGACGCUCAGUCCCGAAAGCGUGGGGAGCAAAUAGGAUUAGAUACCCUAGUAGUCCACGCCGUAAACGAUGAGUACUAAGUGU